rnacentral:rRNA from 1 species
AUAAGCAAUUAUACGGCGAAACUGCGAAUGGCUCAUUAUAUAAGUUAUCGUUUAUUUGAUAGUACCUUACUACUUGGAUAACCGUGGUAAUUCUAGAGCUAAUACAUGCUAAAAAUCCCGACUUACGAAGGGAUGUAUUUAUUAGAUUAAAAACCAAUGCCCUCCGGGGCUCCUUGGUGAUUCAUGAUAACUCCUCGAAUCGCAUGGCCUUGCGCCGGCGAUGGUUCAUUCAAAUUUCUUCCCUAUCAACUUUCGAUGUUUGGGUAUUGGCCAAACAUGGUUGCAACGGGUAACGGAGGGUUAGGGCUCGACCCCGGAGAAGGAGCCUGAGAAACGGCUACUACAUCCAAGGAAGGCAGCAGGCGCGCAAAUUACCCAAUCCCGACACGGGGAGGUAGUGACAAUAAAUACUGAUACAGGGCUCUUUUGGGUCUUGUAAUUGGAAUGAGUACAAUUUAAAUCCCUUAACGAGGAACAAUUGGAGGGCAAGUCUGGUGCCAGCAGCCGCGGUAAUUCCAGCU